CUCAGGAUGAACGCUGGCGGUAUGCUUAACACAUGCAAGUCGAACGGUCUCUUAGGAGAUAGUGGCGGACGGGUGAGUAACGCGUGAGAAUCUGGCUUCAGGUCGGGGACAACAGUUGGAAACGACUGCUAAUACCGGAUGUGCCGAAAGGUAAAAGGCUUGCUGCCUGAAGAUGAGCUCGCGUCUGAUUAGCUAGUUGGUGUGGUAAGAGCGCACCAAGGCGACGAUCAGUAGCUGGUCUGAGAGGAUGAUCAGCCACACUGGGACUGAGACACGGCCCAGACUCCUACGGGAGGCAGCAGUGGGGAAUUUUCCGCAAUGGGCGAAAGCCUGACGGAGCAAUACCGCGUGAGGGAGGAAGGCUCUUGGGUUGUAAACCUCUUUUCUCAAGGAAUAAAAAAAUGAAGGUACUUGAGGAAUAAGCAUCGGCUAACUCCGUGCCAGCAGCCGCGGUAAUACGGAGGAUGCAAGCGUUAUCCGGAAUGAUUGGGCGUAAAGGGUCCGCAGGUGGCAUUGUAAGUCUGCUGUUAAAGAAUGAGGCUCAACCUCAUCAAGGCAGUGGAAACUACAAAGCUAGAGUACGGUCGGGGUAGAAGGAAUUCCUGGUGUAGCGGUGAAAUGCGUAGAGAUCAGGAAGAACACCGGUGGCGAAAGCGUUCUGCUAGGCCUGUACUGACACUGAGGGACGAAAGCUAGGGGAGCGAAUGGGAUUAGAUACCCCAGUAGUCCUAGCCGUAAACGAUGGAUACUAGGCGUGGCUUGUAUCGACCCGAGCCGUGCCGGAGCCAACGCGUUAAGUAUCCCGCCUGGGGAGUACGCACGCAAGUGUGAAACUCAAAGGAAUUGACGGGGGCCCGCACAAGCGGUGGAGUAUGUGGUUUAAUUCGAUGCAACGCGAAGAACCUUACCAAGACUUGACAUGUCGCGAAUCCUCUUGAAAGGGAGGAGUGCCUUCGGGAGCGCGAACACAGGUGGUGCAUGGCUGUCGUCAGCUCGUGUCGUGAGAUGUUGGGUUAAGUCCCGCAACGAGCGCAACCCUCGUUUUUAGUUGCCAGCAUUAAGUUGGGCACUCUAGAGAGACUGCCGGUGACAAACCGGAGGAAGGUGGGGAUGACGUCAAGUCAGCAUGCCCCUUACGUCUUGGGCUACACACGUACUACAAUGCUACGGACAGAGGGCAGCUAAACAGCGAUGUUAAGCAAAUCCCGUAAACCGUAGCUCAGUUCAGAUCGCAGGCUGCAACUCGCCUGCGUGAAGGAGGAAUCGCUAGUAAUUGCAGGUCAGCAUACUGCAGUGAAUUCGUUCCCGGGCCUUGUACACACCGCCCGUCACACCAUGGAAGCUGGCAACGCCCGAAGUCAUUACUCCAACCAUUCGUGGGGGAGGAUGCCUAAGGCAGUGCUGGUGACUGGGGUGAAGUCGUAACAAGGUAGCCGUACCGGAAGGUGUGGCUGGAUCACCUCCUUUUUAGGGAGACCUACCCAACUCAAUAACCGAAAGCAAACAGCCUAUAGGUAAUGAGAUGGUCUACUCUAGGUCGGUCGCAGAUAUUGUUGAAGCUUUCAAACUAUGAUUUGGUUCGAAUAUGGGCUAUUAGCUCAGGUGGUUAGAGCGCACCCCUGAUAAGGGUGAGGUCCCUGGUUCGAGUCCAGGAUGGCCCACCUGAAUCAAUGCAAAAUCAAAAGCCAAAAGUCAAAAGUAAAGUAUUUAUUUUUGAGAUUUGAAAUUUGAAUUUUGAAUUGUGUUGGGGGGUUUAGCUCAGUUGGUAGAGCGCCUGCUUUGCAAGCAGGAUGUCAGCGGUUCGAGUCCGCUAACCUCCACCUGUAGCGUCAAGCUAACAAAAAACCGGAAAGAUUCAGCAACUAACUAAUUAGUAAAAAUAGUUAGACUGCUGGGUAGUACCUAGCCAGAACCUUGAAAACUGCAUAGAAACGCGAUAGAUAGCAGGCAGACACAGACAUCUUAUAGGUGUUGAGUGAAUGCAGGUGGAAACCAAUGUAAUGUGGUCAAGCUAAUAAGGGCUAAUGGUGGAUACCUAGGCACA
rnacentral:rRNA from 1 species